UGAAACCCCAGUGGAUCUCCACAUGCUGUC
rnacentral:piRNA from 1 species